rnacentral:rRNA from 1 species
AGCAGCCGCGGUAAUUCCAGCUCCAAUAGCGUAUAUUAAAGUUGUUGCAGUUAAAAAGCUCGUAGUUGAAUUUCGGGGUCAGCAAGUUGGUCGUGCCACUGGUAUGCACUGGCUUUGCUGAUUCCUCCUUCUUGAAGAACUGUAAUGCUAUUCAUUUAGUGUUGCAGGGAAACAGGACUGUUACUUUGAAAAAAUUAGAGUGUUUAAAGCAGGCUAACGCUUGAAUACAUUAGCAUGGAAUAAUGAAAUAGGACGUUUGAUCCUAUUUUGUUGGUUUCUAGGAUUGACGUAAUGAUUAAUAGGGAUAGUUGGGGGCAUUAGUAUUCAAUUGUCAGAGGUGAAAUUCUUGGAUUUAUUGAAGACUAACUACUGCGAAAGCAUUUGCCAAGGAUGUUUUCAUUAAUCAAGAACGAAAGUUAGGGGAUCGAAGACGAUCAGAUACCGUCGUAGUCUUAACCAUAAACUAUGCCGACUAG